rnacentral:rRNA from 1 species
UUAUUAAAAGAAUGGUUUUUAAAAGAAUAAAGGUUUAAUUGAAUAGUAUAGAUAUAGAUUUUCUUUUUUUACUAUAGAAAAAUAGUACUGUAAGGGAAGUUUGAAAUUUUUUUAAGUUUUUAAAAGCAUGUAAAGUACCUUUUGUAUAAGGGUUUAUUGAAGAAUAUAAAAAAAUUUUUUUUUCCCGAAAUUUAACGAGCUAUUUCUUUUAAAUUUUAUGUGUUUUAAAAUAUAAAUUAAAUUAGGAGUAGAGAUGAAAUUUCAUUCGAGUUAAAUGAUAUCUGGUUAAAAAAUAAAAACUACACGUUUAUUUUAAAGUUUGUGAACUUGGAUUGCUUUAAAUUUUAUUAUUUAUGGGAUAAGCUAUAGGUAGUUUUAUAUUUUAGGGUUGUAAGUUAUGAAGGUUUAAAAUUUUCUUAGGUUUGUUAUAAAGCAUUUUUUUUUACUUUUUUUUUAAAAAAUAGGUUAUUUUUUAAAAAAUUAAAUUUAAAAGGGAUUAUGAUGGAAUUAGUAUAAUUUUUUAUGUAUUUUUGAAAUUUAAAUUUUUUAUUAAAAGUUAAUUUUUUCUUUAGGAAUUCGGCAAAAAAAAUUUUUGGCUGUUUAUCAAAAACAUUGUAUUUUGAAAUAAUAAAAUAUAUGUUCUGCUCAAUGUAUAUUAUAAAUUGCUGUAGUAUUUUGACUAUACAAAGGUAUUGUAACAAGGUUUUAAAUGGAUGCUAAGAGAAUGAUCAAACAAGGAUUUUCUUUCUUAAGAAAAAUAUUAGAAGUUGGUUUUUAAGUGAAAAAACUUAAAUUUUGAUUUGGGACAAGAAGACCCUAUGAAUUUUUAUAAAUAAGAAUUUUCUGAAGUUGAUUCUUCUUUAUUUGGUUGGGGUGAUUUUUAAAGAUUAGAAAUCUUUAGGUUUUUAAAUUUGAUCCAUUAAUAGUGAUUAUUUGAAAAAAAUACUCUAGGGUUAACAGCGUUAUUAUUUUGGAUAGUUCAUAUUGAUAAAAUUGAUUGCGACCUCGAUGUUGGAUUAGGAUACUUUUAUAAUGAAGAAGUUAUAAGAAGAAGUUUGCUCAACUUUUAAUAUCUUACAUGAUCUGAGUUCAAACCGGCGUAAGCCAGGUUGGUUUCUAUCUAAAUAUUUAAGAAUUUUUGCUUAGUACGAAAGGAAUAGUAAAUUAGGUUUUACCUGUAUAUUUUGUUUGUUUAAAUUUA